rnacentral:sRNA from 1 species
ACAAACCACAAACGAAAAGAUAAGGAAGA